rfam:Aedes albopictus isolate Foshan contig61469, whole genome shotgun sequence.
UGCCCAGCAACUCCUAUCCCUACCUCCUCGCGGUAAAGGCCGGAAACUAUGACCAACCUUAGGGUAGAUCGGGUAACCAACCCCGAUGGGAACUUUGGUCGUAGGCUGACAGGGAAGG